rnacentral:tRNA from 1 species
UGGCUCAGUUGGUAAAGCGUCUGCCUACAAUGCAGGAGACCAGGGUUCAAUCCCUG